CAGUAUCUACAUUUAUCAUAUGUUUAGUAGUAAAUACAGUAGUUUUUCAUAUUUGAUAAAUAGCCUGCUGUUUAAUCCAUAUCGCGCAACUUUGAUGCGCACCCUUUAUCGCAUACCCUUUAUCACACCCCUACCCUUUAUCGCAUACCCUUUAUCACACCUCAACCCUUUAUCACACCUCAACCCUUUAUCACACCCCUACUUUUUUUUUUUUUUUUUUUUUUACAUAAAGUCAGCUUUUUUUGUUUUUUUUUGUAUAAGAAAAAUUUUCCUCAAAAUAGGUAAUUUUUUUAAAUGACGUCAUUUUUUUUAUAUGUGACGUCACAAACGUCAAGUUUUCAUAUUGUAUGUGACUUCACGAACGUAAAGUUUUCAUAUUUUUUGGC
rnacentral:lncRNA from 1 species